rnacentral:lncRNA from 1 species
CUAUGUUGCGUAAGCUGGCAGCAGGGACACAGAAAAGUGCUAGUUUAGUUUUGUCACUAAAAGAACAGUCUUUGGAAAAGGAAUCACUGGUGGACAGUUGAAGUUGGGUGCAAAUUUACUGAAGAAGCUGAAGGAGAUUUAUUUCUCUCCCUGUGAGCACUGUUAAGAGAACACAGUACAAGAGAUACCAUUGCUCACAGCCACAUUCCCUCAUCAGGACUGCAGGAUUCAGAUGAUUGUAUUCAGAGGAUAAACAUGUAAAGAUAUCUUCUAAUUAUCAGUGCAGCAGCCAUUUUUAAUGCAAACUGAACAAGAAAGAGAGCCUCAGAGAAGCCACAGGAGGAUCUGUCAUACCCAACAGCAAUCUUUACUUGCCAAGAAUCUGUGCUUCAUUAUCACAAAACCACCUUAUGACUUCACAGCGUUCAGACCUUCCCUCCAAGUCAUCGUCGCUCUACAACAUAAGAAUCCACAAAGAAUAACAAGGUAA